UCAUGGCACCCCCAGAGAGAGACAAGUCACCUUCUGAGGGAGAUGUGGCACCUCCCAAGAGGAUCAUGGCACCCCCAGAGAGAGACAAAUCACCUUCUGAGGGAGAUGUGGCACCUCCCAAGAGGAUCAUGGCACCCCCAGAGAGAGACAAGUCACCUUCUGAGGGAGAUGUGACACCUCCCAAGAGGAUCAUGGCACCCCCAGAGAGAGACAAGUCACCUUCUGAGGGAGAUGUGGCACCACCUAAAGGGAUCAUGGCACCCCCAGAGAUAGACAAGUCACCUUCUGAGGGAGAUGUGGCACCACCUAAAGGGAUCAUGGAGCCUCCUGAGAGGGACAUGUUACUUCCAAAGGGAGACAUACCACCUGCUAAGACUAUCACUGAUACCAACUUGGAGACGCCUUCAGAUACAGAGAGACAAGACCAAAGUGUCCAGGAGGAGGAGUUGACCCUGGUGGUACC
rnacentral:lncRNA from 1 species